GAGUUUCUCACAGAAACAACUCCCUCUUCUUCCAAACCGUCCUCCAAAAGUUCUUCAGGCACUCUUGCACCCAGACUCCUCAAACAACGGUAACGCGGAAAGAAUGAGCUGAAUGAGUUUUGAAGGAAUAAAGACGCUUCGCCCCACUAGGUUAUGUUUGACGAGAAGAGAUGGCUAUACAUCUGCAUGGCGAGCUAGUGGCAGGAUCACUGACGUGUACUACGAUCCGUACGGAGAGUUGCAAGCCUUCUGCAAGGUAUAUGGAGCCACACCGCUGAAGUGACUGAACCUGGCAAUGACAAUGAAGCAAUUGUUCACCACUGUUGGUGUCAAAUACGUGUUUUCUUUGUUUCCUCUCAAAUAAAUUUUCUUUCUUUA